rnacentral:rRNA from 1 species
GACGAACGCUGGCGGCGUGCUUAACACAUGCAAGUCGAACGGAGUGGCGAACGCGUUAGUAACACGUGGGUGACCUGCCCUGCACUUCGGGAUCAGCCUGGGAAACUGGGUCUAAUACCGGAUAUUGGGGGAUGGCGCCGCGGCCGAUCCGCUUGUUGGUGGGGUACUGGCCUACCAAGGCGGCGACGGGUAGCCGGCCUGAGAGGGUGGACGGCCACAUUGGGACUGAGACACGGCCCAGACUCCUACGGGAGGCAGCAGUGGGGAAUAUUGCACAAUGGGCGGAAGCCUGAUGCAGGGACGCCGCGUGGGGGAUGACGGCCUUCGGGUUGUAAACUCCUUUCACCAUCGACGCGGUAGAUGGAGAAGAAGCACCGGCUAACUACGUGCCAGCAGCCGCGGUAAUAC